CCCUAACUAUAGUGGCCUUCUACUGCCUACGGUAAUUAUAUUCAGCAAAUAUGUGCUAGAUAAGAUGGGAAAUUAAACAGAGAAUUCCCAUCUGUUCUGUGGAGUUCUGUGAUGACGCUGGUGUGUCAGGUGCACUUAUACGAGCUGUGGCGUGCAGGACAAUGCAGCAGCCAUUGGCAAAACCCUGAGCCAAAGGACAGAGAGCCACUGGCCAGAGCACAGGUGGCAGCCAAAGCAGACUAGUAACACCAGGAUAGCAAGUGGGUUCUGAUUCCUUCUUACCGGGUUGGGGGAGGGAAGGAGGUGUUCCUGUGUUAGUCAGCCGUGGAUUUCCCAUUUUCUGGGAUUUAUUUAUUCGGUUUGCAAGCUGUAAGUCUCCCCCACUGCUUCCUUUUCCAAGGCCUAUGAGAGACCUUUGGUCCCUUUGGAGGGAGAGUUCAAAGCUGCUCUGAUUUGGUUUUGAUUCAGUAAGAAACAACAUAGAAAAUGGCUAAACAGAAACCUGUAGGGAUGAAUUUGAUUUUCACCCCUCCCAGUGAGAAUUUUACAUCUAAAACGGAAGCCUGGAACCAGCUCGGAGCAGACCGGAUCUCUCCCACCACCUCACUCUAUUUCACAGCAUAGCCAUAGAUGUGGGGCCGCACCAAUGUCCAGGAGAGGGGGGCCUGGAUGUGCUGUAGCUUUAGCUUCGAGAAGCUGGCCUGCUCUAUGGUCUUCCAGCUCUCUCUCGUCAGAUUGCAUCCAUCAAAAAAAAGGAACCAGACAGGAUCCAGGACCUGCUGCCAGAAGUAAUUCCAGGUAGACCGUUCAUCUGCCACGUGUUCCAUGAAGUAAAAAGCCCCUCCCUGAGAAGAAACACACACACACACACAUUUUAAGGAUAGUGUCUUUGGGAAAUCCACUUUGUAAAAUGCCUCAAGUUUCAAAUUCCAGUGGCUGGAGGCUGACUUUGAGAAGACACAGGUAGGUUAAAAUGGAGUAAGGCAUUAUCUGGGUAAUGUCGUUUCAAAUUCUGUCACAUUUUAUACAGAGCUAGCUGGGUAUGAGAGUGCAUGCCCUGAAUCUGCACACAAGGGAGGCUAAGGGAAGAUGACCUUAAGUUACAGGCCAGCCUGGCUACAGUGGGACACUGUAUUAAACUUUUUAAAAGGAGCAGCCAACCUAAGCAAUAGAUGUAUUUUUGCGGUCAUAAAGAAUUCCUGAUACUGAAAGUGAAAGCGCUGAGUAUGAGUUCUCUCCCCUCUCUGCUUAUCACUCACAUCCCUCCACUCUCUCCACAUCCUUCCACUCUCUUGACAGUAUUAUUUGUAGCAGAACAAACCUGUAAUCCCAGCACACAGGAAACAGGGCAGGGGCACUGCUGUAAGCUGGAGGCCAGCCUGGGUUACUGCAGUUAGUUCAGAGCCAGUCUGGGUUACAUAGACCCUGUCUCAAGACAAACAACAUUGCUUUUUUAGUUUUCUUACCUCCUCUGGUUUUGCUUUAUUUUUGAUACAGGGUCUCACUGAGCCAUUGUAACUUGUUAUGGGCCUGACUGGCCUUAAAAACUCACAGAGAUCCACCUCCUUCUGUCUCCUGAGUGCAGGAAUUAAAGGAGCUAUGCCAUCAAGCCUGGCACCUCACUGUUUUUACUUGUGAUGGAGCAGAGCCCAACAUGACAGCUUGUAAAUGUCAGAAAGAGAAGCUAAGGCUCUGUGUGAGGCUCCAGAACUAUCUCAGCCACAUCUGUCUUAGAAAGUUCAGAAAACACGUAGAUGUUUUUUAUACCAAAUCACUGUAAUUCCAGCACUUGGGAGGUCGAGGCAGGAGGAUAAGAAGUUUUAAGUCAUAUUCAUCAGGACAUUGAAUUGGAGGCCAGUUAGGGCUACAUGAGACUCUACCUUAAAAAAACAAACAGAAACCAAACAAACAAAAAAAGGGUUGGAGAGGGAGUUGAAACCAUCCCAGGUCCAGGGAUCCAGUGUUCUCUGACCCGAGGGACCUGCACACACAUGGGGCACAUAGCUCAUGUGGGUGUGCACGGGCACAUAAAUCCCUUUAAACAAAAAUCGAAACAAAAAGAAAGCCAGCCACUAUCCUAUUAUAUGUAAACUUGCAAGUUUUUCUAAAAUCAAGUCUAUAACACACACUAUCUGUAACCAUCUUUAUUUUACUUCCCAUCUGCUAGGCUCUCCCCAGUGUUCCACUGUAACAAGCAUUAACAUCCACCAAUCUUGAGAGCACCUGUAAUUGUUGCCAAAUAGAUGCAUUGUUAAAAAGCAAUGUUGAAUUACUAGUGGGUGGUCCCUUUUAAAUCGCCUUGGUAGAAGUUUUCAAAGUGCCCUUUGUGAAAACUGAAUGGCAUUUACACUAUCACGAGCAAUGGCUCUGAAAGUGCCCAUUUCCAAUAAAGGGCUGGCAAACCACCUCUUCCUACCCCUCCCCUGCCAAUGUUUUUGACAAUGGGUCUUGCUACUGUAGCCCAAGUUGUCAUCAACUGCCUUAAACACACAUGUGUGCAUGCACACACAUGAACUGCACACCAAUUGUAGUACAGGGGAGUCAGAGACAGGUAGAUCUUUAACACCCUCUGGCCACUCAGCCCGGCCAACUUGGUGAGUUCCAGACAGUGAGUGAUUCUGUAUCAAGAGUGGGAACCGCCUCUGAGAAGUG
rnacentral:lncRNA from 1 species